CAAGGAAGCAAUUUGCCUACUGCCUGGAGCAAGUGAGGUAAUGUUGACAGAUAUCAGACAGAAAGCAGAUCAUCCCCAGUUCAGUAUUUUCUGUAGAGAAGGCUGUUCAGAGAGAGAAAGGGGAUGGCAAAUGGCUCUCUCAGUUAGCUGGCUGAGCAUGUGAGCAGUCCGUACGACCAAGAUCAUUGUUGUCUCCAGCAGUGGAGAGCACCAGAUCUGAAAUCCCCAGGGCAAUUUCUGUUCAUGGAUAAGCCGGAUAAGCCUGGACUUCCCAAGUGAUGUCACAGUGAGACUUGAGCUUCGAUAACCAAGAACUUCAAGACCAAACCAUCAUUUCAAGAGAUUAUCGAGAAAAUGAAUGUGAGAAGAGCUUGGUGAGAUGUUCAACUGAAAUAAUAUAGUCCUGUUUUCCUUAAGUACUUAUAAUUACAUGUUGAAAAUGAACUCUAAAAAUUUAUUGCUAUCCAGUGUCUGAAUAACCUGAAGAGAACAUUGUAAAAACUGUCUAGCAAGAUGUUUACAGCAAAAUAUUUUUAAGUGAUGAAAACAAUUUGCAAGACAAUCUAGAUACUACAAUUCAAGUUUGGGUAAAAAACAAAAAAAAGAAAAAGAAAAGAAAAGGAAAGAAUGGAAAAAAAAAUUACCUGUUGGUAGUUGUGAGUAUGUGGAAAAAAAUAUUUUCAAGGCAUCAAAACUAUCUGGAUGGAAACUCCCCGAACUGUUAGAUGUAGUUGCCUCUUGGACUAUAUGACUGAGAAGGCAGGAGAUUUUUAUUUUUCACUUUAUGAUCUUUUGUGUUUAUAUUGGUUGUACUUAGCAUUGCCAUAUUUAUAAUUUAAAAAUUCAAUUAGGAAAAGGUUAUUCAAGUUUGAAAACAUCACGUCUCACUUGAUUUAUGACUUAUUUAGGUUUGAAUAUAAUUAAUAUUUAGCAAGAAUGUGAAUGUGAAUUGCUUUUAAUUUCAGUAUCAAUGGCUUAGUAAAGCUCUUUCUGAUGCAUUAAGAUGUAAAGAAAUUAUACUGAACUCUCUAAUAUUAUUAUGUAAUAUAUAAUAUUAUAUAUGAUGUUAAUAUGUGAUAUGAGUAUUAGAAGCUCUGAAUUUGUCAGAAAUUUUGUCUAUUUGUGAACUCAUUGAUUCAUUUAAUAAAUGUUUAAGUACUUUCUAUGCAGAAGGCUCUGUCUGAGUUAGAUAUUAGAAACGAACAUGAAAAGUUAUAGUCCUUACCCCUAAAGGGCUUGUGCUCUGUUGGAAUAGACCAGCACACAGAAAAUAAUUGAUACACCGUGAGAAGUGGUAUAAUAGAUAAGUCUCAAUGGGAUGUGGGGAUUCAUAGCAUUUUCUUUGGAAAAUGCUCCCAGGCACACUGAGUUGGUUCCCUGGUAACUGUGCUUAUAUUGGGUGACACUAUUCCUAUUGGAAUUAAAUUAGAACAUUAAAUUAGAACAGAUAUAUCCUUUUACAACAAUAUUUUAAAUAUAUAAGUGCAUGAAGCUAUAAUUUUUAUGUAAUUGAGUGUUGGCUAAAUAUGAAAGACAAUGUAAUUGAAUUUUUUUUUUUUUUUUGAGACGGAGUCUUGCUAUGGCGCCAGGCCAGAGUGCAGUGACAUGAUCUCAG
rnacentral:lncRNA from 10 species